rnacentral:lncRNA from 1 species
CCCGGGGACUUACUUGGUAAUUGAGCAUCCCAGGAGAGCUUUUAGAUAGUAGUCAUGAAAGGAGUGGCUGCAAAUGUAAGGGAGUCCAAAAGUGUGCACUAGCACAACUGUCCACACUCUUUUAUUUUGUGGUCAUUUGACAGUGUGAACUUGUUCCAGAAGAAGGGGCAAUGCCUGGACCCUGCUCAGAAGGUUUUGUACAGAGACUGCAUGUCACAGAAUUAAAGCGGUCAGAUUUCAAAUGAAGUGAAAUCCUCGGAGGAAUGACAAAAAUUUUCAUAAAAUAUUCAAACGUCUUGUGAAUCUCUUUGAGAGGGCUCACUGAUCACCCAGACCUGCUCACCUGUGGAGCAAAACAGAAACCUGGAAGGUGGAGAGGGAGGAGACAGUAGCUAAGGAUCCAGAUUCAAUUUUACAUAUAGAGCGAAACAAAAUUCAAGAUCCCAGGACCUGGGAAGCUGGAGACCUACUGGAAGCAGACUAACUCCCUCUCUAAGAAGGAAUGGUUCCCCAAAUUUUCAUGGCUGUUCCUAACAACAGAAAGAAGGUAAA